UCUUCGGAGCUGUAAGCGGGCUGUUCUUGCGGUUUUCCUGUUUCAGAUCCAAUUCUGUGGCAUCACUAGGAAGGGAGCUCUUGUGCUUAGCACGUAGCCUCGUCCUCAGACUUGGACAGACACAAGGGAGGCUCCGCUGGACCGGAGGGCACAAGAGCUCCGAGCCCGGUCGUCGGGGCGGUAGAACCUGGAAGCGGGAGAGUGGUCUGGUACUGCUAUAACCAGAAUUUGGUAGAAAAAGGAUUUACUUGUUGGGGCCCUCUUGAUAAAAAGAGAUGUGGGGGGAUUCUCGACCUGCUAACAGAACUGGACCUUUUCGGGAACUCUAAUGAUCCAGGACAAAGAAGUUACCCUGGAGUAUGUAUCAAGCCUGGAUUUUUGGUACUGCAAACGAUGUAAGGCAAACAUUGGUGGGCACCGAUCUUCCUGUUCAUUCUGCAAGAACCCAAGAGAAGUGACAGAGGCCAAGCAAGAAUUAAUAACCUACCCUCAGCCUCAGAAAACAUCCAUACCAGCACCAUUGGAAAAACAGCCCAACCAGCCCCUAAGACCAGCUGAUAAGGAACCUGAACCCA
rnacentral:lncRNA from 1 species